rnacentral:rRNA from 1 species
AGAACGAACGCUGGCGGCAUGCCUAAUACAUGCAAGUCGAACGAACUCUUCGGAGUUAGUGGCGCACGGGUGCGUAACGCGUGGGAAUCUGCCCCUUGGUUCGGAAUAACAGCUGGAAACGACUGCUAAUACCGGAUGAUGACGAAAGUCCAAAGAUUUAUCGCCAAGGGAUGAGCCCGCGUAGGAUUAGCUAGUUGGUGAGGUAAAGGCUCACCAAGGCAACGAUCCUUAGCUGGUCUGAGAGGAUGAUCAGCCACACUGGGACUGAGACACGGCCCAGACUCCUACGGAGCAGCAGUAGGGAAUAUUGGACAAUGGCGAAAGCUGAUCCAGCAAUGCCGCGUGAGUGAUGAAGG